rnacentral:misc_RNA from 1 species
GUCAAGGUUAUAGUAUAGAUUUGGAGUACUUACCAUGACAAUUCCCUCAUGAAGAUUGGAGAAGGAAAGGAAAAAUCGAAUAUUAUUCAUGAAGAAUAAUUCUCUCAUGAAAAUCCAUUCUUAAUUUGUGAUUUCAUUGUGUUUGUGAUAUAAUAUUCAUGAUUAUUUGAUUAAUUUUUUUCAAAUUCUGAAGUAUCUUCUUAUUUACUGAAGAAAAUUAAUCAAAUAAUCAUGAAUAUUCUAUCAUAAACACAAUGAAAUCACAAAUUGAGAAUGGAUUUU